CCUCUACGAAAACUAGAAAACAUAAUGAACUGUGUCUUAUCAUUACAUGCAUCAUGUUGUAUUUCCACUGCCAUUCUAAUGCUUUAAAUUUCUCUAUCUCGGAAACAAGCUUGUCGAGAUAAAUAGAUUAGAAUGACAUGGUUUGGAAGAUUUUCUGAGUAAUGUAAGGAAUCUUGAGAGAAAUCUGAAGAAAGUGGAAGCUAAAAUAGUGGCUCUGAAGAUAUCACUCCUCAAGAAGGUCAACAAAGGGUCUAACAUUGUGAUAAUGGACUCGUAAGUUUUCCUAAUUUUUUAUUUAUUAUUUUACUGGAGUUUCUUAAGUCUUUUUGUUUUUUUUCUUUUCUUGUGGAACAUCAUCUGGAAUAGCCGAAUAGGGAUCUAUAUAUGUAUAAGCUUUAAUAUCUUGAGUAGGUUGCGAGCAGGGAUGGCUGUAAUACCUUUUCUUAUUAGGACCAACUGCAUAUUAUGGAUAGAUGAAAGAAACAUCACGACAUUGAGAAUUGAUCUUUUUUAUUCGAAAGCAUUAUUUAAAUUGAGUUGCUCAAGGCCUUCUGACUAUGUUUAGGGCCUUAUUGGAGUCGUUUUACUUGCAUUGAACACCCUAAAAAUGAGAAGAUUAUGCCUAUAUAUUGAUCCAAACAUUAUUGAUUGCAUCAAAUACAAAGAUCCAAAACACCUCAAUACUGAUGUUAAGAAGGCUCCCACAAGUGCAGUAAAACAACAACUUAUAGUUAUGCGGAAUUUAGGUGCUUUGCAACUAUAUAUUGGAAAAAAUGAGAAUAGUGCAGGCAAUAGGUCCUAUCGAUGGUAAUCUGAAGCAAUAUCCCAAAGAAGCAUGGGAUGACCUGCAGAAAUUUCUAUCAUCUUCUAUUGGACGAGCUUUCAUAAGUGCUACACAGUACAGGUAAUGGGUUCUCAUUUAGUUUGGGCCUUAUUGAAUUAUGGUUGAUGUUUGGGGAACUUUCUAAAGUUCUUAUAUAGGCAAAGAGCUUCUAAUUUGAUAUUUAAUUUAACAUUGUAUAGUGUAAAAGUUAGUUAGGCUUAGGAAAUGGUUCCUUGUGUUGGUCUAUUUUACCUUUUUAAAAGAAAAGAAAAGAUGCCUCCUCAUAUUUAUCUAGCUAUUAUAUCUCGGUCCUGAGCUUGAUUAUUUACUUGAUCUUUUACUAGGUUUGAUUUACCUUUUUAGCAGAAAAGAAAAGAUGUUUCCUCAUGUGUAUCUGGUUGUUAUAUCCCAAUCCUAAGCUUGCUUAUUUACUUGAUCUUUCACUAGGUCUGAAGCAGUUACGGUUAUUAAGAAAUUAUGCCUAAAGGAGUUUGCUUUAGGAGAAAUACUUCAAAUCUUGCACAUGGUUAUUAACAUGAAGAAAUGGAUUAUACAACCUCAAUCUAGAUAGCAAUCAAUUAAGAUUACUCUUACAGAGAUCGUUCCCAAUUUAGUGGUGGUUGCUGCAACAUAAAAUCUGCAAGAUCUGGUUAUGGCUGGGGAAUGAUGGCUUAUAUAGAUGUGGUUGGUUGUUUAUAUGAAAUUGAUGAUAUAGAGAAUUGUGGAUCGAAGGGAAAAAAAGGAAGAUUCAAAUUAUUACUGAUUAGAAGAGUUGAUUUUGAAUCUGAUGGAUAUUAAGGAGCUGUUUGAUUCUGAGUGGAGUUCUAAAAUACAGGUAUUUGCUAACGUCUCAUUGGGUAACUUGAAAGAUCUCGAGGAAGAACUAUAAGUCACCGAUGGUGCUAAAAGUAGAAUAAAAAGACACCUAAUCAUACAUGGUGAAGAAUUAAGUGUUGAAGAUGUAAAUAGGUUUAAGAAGUAGAGAGGUUAUUGUUGUUCCAAACCUGUAACUGAUGUUUGAGAUUACACAAAAUGGUUUCAAACUGUUGUCAUUUUUAGUUUGUUGUGACGA